UACAGGGGGUGCAAACGUUGCUCGGAAUCAUUGGGCGUAAAGCGCGCGUAGGCGGUCAUUUAAGUCGGAUGUGAAAGCCCUUGGCUUAACUGAGGAAGUGCACCCGAAACUGAAUGGCUUGAGUACCAAAGAGGGUCGCGGAAUUCCCGGUGUAGAGGUGAAAUUCGUAGAUAUCGGGAGGAACACCGGUGGCGAAGGCGGCGACCUGGGUGGAAACUGACGCUGAGGCGCGAAAGCGUGGGGAGCAAAC
rnacentral:rRNA from 1 species